GAUUUUAAGCACAAGAGAUCACUUAAAGAUCACAUCAAGGCUUUUGGGAAUGGCCAUGCAGCCUAUGGCAUUGCUGGAUUUGAAGAAGAAGAUGAACCUGCAUCUGAAGUAGAACAAGAUAAUGAGUCCAUGCAGUGAAGUAGAAGAUCAUUAGUGAAGAAUUGUCUUAAUUUUAUAUUUAAUGAGCUUAUAUUGGAAUUCAUAUAUAUCCCAGGCUUUUGAAGUAAGAACUGUAUAA
rnacentral:misc_RNA from 1 species